AAAUGCGUCACGCUAGGCUAAUCUUAAUGUGCUGCUUUUUUGUGUCAACUAUUUUUAUGCCACCACCACCGACAGUCAAUGACCUUUGAAUUCUUUUAUAUCACAAUAUCAUCUGCGAAAUUCAUAGCCCAAGGGGAUCCCAGUCUAACCUCAUCUGUCAGCCUAUCCGUUACUACCGCCAACAGGAAGGGGCUCAGCGCGGAUCCCUGAUGCACUCCCACCUCCACCACUCGCCCAUGCAGUACCGCAGUUCCUCUCUUGGUACUCUCGUCCUAGGCUUUCUCUCAGUCUACAAAGACGCAACGUAGCUCCUUC